rfam:Schistosoma mattheei strain Denwood, Zambia genome assembly, scaffold: SMTD_scaffold0020100
AGCUUUCUGAAUCCGUGCUAAGAUUUUGUCAGGUUUUAACCCAACAAGGCUGAUGAAACUUGUAAGGUAAGUGAAGUG